rnacentral:rRNA from 1 species
UACGUAGGCAGCGAGCGUUGUUCGGAGUUACUGGGCGUAAAGGGGGUGUAGGCGGUUGUUUAAGUUUGGUGUGAAAUCUCCCGGCUCAACUGGGAGGGUGCGCCGAAUACUGAAUGACUUGGAGUGCGGGAGAGGAGAGUGGAAUUCCUGGUGUAGCGGUGAAAUGCGUAGAUAUCAGGAGGAACACCGGUGGUGUAGACGGCUCUCUGGACCGUAACUGACGCUGAGACACGAAAGCGUGGGGAGCAAACAGG